CGUACACUCCUACGGGAGGCAGCAGUGGGGAAUAUUGGACAAUGGGCGCAAGCCUGAUCCAGCCAUGCCGCGUGAGUGAUGAAGGCCCUAGGGUUGUAAAGCUCUUUCACCGGUGAAGAUAAUGACGGUAACCGGAGAAGAAGCCCCGGCUAACUUCGUGCCAGCAGCCGCGGUAAUACGAAGGGGGCUAGCGUUGUUCGGAUUUACUGGGCGUAAAGCGCACGUAGGCGGACUAUUAAGUCAGGGGUGAAAUCCCGGGGCUCAACCCCGGAACUGCCUUUGAUACUGGUAGUCUUGAGUGCGAGAGAGGUGAGUGGAAUUCCGAGUGUAGAGGUGAAAUUCGUAGAUAUUCGGAGGAACACCAGUGGCGAAGGCGGCUCACUGGCUCGAUACUGACGCUGAGGUGCGAAAGCGUGGGGAGCAAACAGGAUUAGAAACCCCGGUAGUCCCAU
rnacentral:rRNA from 1 species